rnacentral:SRP_RNA from 1 species
GCCGAGAGACGUGGUGUACUCCUGUAAUACAACUACUCGGAGGUUGGGUAAAGAGAAUGUUUUAAGAGUGGGGGUUCUGGAAUUGGGUUUUCCAUGUGACUAGGCGUCCGCUAGGAGUAAAACUUUAACUUGGAUGCCUUGGGGGAGCUCGAAGUAGUCAGGUUGAGUCCAAAAAGGGGAAAAAGUUGAGAGUUGGAAACUGAGAGUCGUGGGUUCAAAUCCUGGGAUUGGGAGUUCAAUGUCGACUCGUCCAAACAAAAACAAAUGUGUACCUCC